rnacentral:rRNA from 1 species
CGCUGGCGGCGUGCCUAAUACAUGCAAGUCGAACGCUUCUUUUUCCACCGGAGCUUGCUCCACCGGAAAAAGAGGAGUGGCGAACGGGUGAGUAACACGUGGGUAACCUGCCCAUCAGAAGGGGAUAACACUUGGAAACAGGUGCUAAUACCGUAUAACAAUCGAAACCGCAUGGUUUUGAUUUGAAAGGCGCUUUCGGGUGUCGCUGAUGGAUGGACCCGCGGUGCAUUAGCUAGUUGGUGAGGUAACGGCUCACCAAGGCGACGAUGCAUAGCCGACCUGAGAGGGUGAUCGGCCACAUUGGGACUGAGACACGGCCCAAACUCCUACGGGAGGCAGCAGUAGGGAAUCUUCGGCAAUGGACGAAAGUCUGACCGAGCAACGCCGCGUGAGUGAAGAAGGUUUUCGGAUCGUAAAACUCUGUUGUUAGAGAAGAACAAGGAUGAGAGUAACUGUUCAUCCCUUGACGGUAUCUAACCAGAAAGCCACGGCUAACUACGUGCCAGCAGCCGCGGUAAUACGUAGGUGGCAAGCGUUGUCCGGAUUUAUUGGGCGUAAAGCGAGCGCAGGCGGUUUCUUAAGUCUGAUGUGAAAGCCCCCGGCUCAACCGGGGAGGGUCAUUGGAAACUGGGAGACUUGAGUGCAGAAGAGGAGAGUGGAAUUCCAUGUGUAGCGGUGAAAUGCGUAGAUAUAUGGAGGAACACCAGUGGCGAAGGCGGCUCUCUGGUCUGUAACUGACGCUGAGGCUCGAAAGCGUGGGGAGCAAACAGGAUUAGAUACCCUGGUAGUCCACGCCGUAAACGAUGAGUGCUAAGUGUUGGAGGGUUUCCGCCCUUCAGUGCUGCAGCUAACGCAUUAAGCACUCCGCCUGGGGAGUACGACCGCAAGGUUGAAACUCAAAGGAAUUGACGGGGGCCCGCACAAGCGGUGGAGCAUGU